rnacentral:rRNA from 1 species
CGUAGGGGGCAAGCGUUGCCCGGGUUCACUGGGCGUAAAGCGGGUGUAGGCGGUUCUUUAAGUCAGAUGUGAAAUCCUACGGCUCAACCGUGGAAUCGCAUCUGAUACUGGGGAACUUGAGGACGGUAGAGGUCGGUGGAAUUCCCGGUGUACCGGUGAAAUGGGCAGAUAUCGGGAGGAACACCAGUGGCGAAGGCGGCCGACUGGGCCGAUCCUGACGCUGAGACCCGAAAGCCAGGGUAGCGAACCGGAUUAGAUACCCGGGUAGUCCUGGCCGUAAACGGUGCGAACUAGGUGUGGGGGCUGUCAUGGCCUCCGUGCCGAAGCUAACGCAUUAAGUUCGCCGCCUGGGGAGUACGGCCGCAAGGCUA